GGAGUUGGCCUCGGGAUCAUUGGGGCGUAAGCGCGUGUAGGCGGCACGUUAAGUCGAGUGUGAAAGCCCUGGGCCUAACCCAGGAAGUGCGCUCGAAACUGGCGAGCUAGAGUACGGGAGAGGGUAGUGGAAUUCCCGGUGUAGAGGUGAAAUUCGUAGAUAUCGGGAGGAACACCAGUGGCGAAGGCGGCUACCUGGACCGAUACUGACGCUGAGACGCGAAAGCGUGGGUAGCAAACAGGAUUAGAUACCCUGGUAGUCCACGCCGUAAACGAUGAGUGCUAGGUGUUGCGGGUAUUGACCCCUGCGGCGCCGAAGUUAACGCAUUAAGCACUCCGCCUGGGGAGUACGGCCGCAAGGCUAAAACUCAAAGGAAUUGACGGGGGCCCGCACAAGCGGUGGAGCAUGUGGUUCAAUUCGACGCAACGCGAAGAACCUUACCUGGGUUGGAACCCUCUGGAAUCCCCUGGAGAUAGGGGAGUGCCCUUCGGGGAACUGGAUGUCCAGGUGCUGCAUGGCUGUCGUCAGCUCGUGUCGUGAGAUGUUGGGUUAAGUCCCGCAACGAGCGCAACCCUUGUCUUUAGUUGCAAACGGUUCGGCCGAGCACUCUAAAGAGACUGCCGGUGUUAAACCGGAGGAAGGUGGGGAUGACGUCAAGUCCUCAUGGCCCUUAUGCCCAGGGCUACACACGUGCUACAAUGGCGGCUACAAAGGGCUGCGACACCGCGAGGUGAAGCCAAUCCCAAAAAAGCCGCCUCAGUUCGGAUAGGAGUCUGCAACUCGACUCCUUGAAGUCGGAAUCGCUAGUAAUCGAAGAUCAGAACGCUUCGGUGAAUACGUUCCCGGGCCUUGUACACACCGCCCGUCACACCAUGGGAGCCGGCUGCUCCAGAAAUGGCUGAGCUAACCCGCAAGGGAGGCAGGCCCUUAAGGAGUGUCCGGUGACUGGGGUGAAGUCGUAACAAGGUAAC
rnacentral:rRNA from 1 species